rnacentral:lncRNA from 1 species
GAAUUUCUCAAAUAUCUCAUUAAUCCACCUAUCAUUUGAAUUUAAUAAUAUAGUAAAUAGAAUAGAUACGAUGACACGUGGAAAACAUAUAGAAAACCACGUUAGGAAAUUGUCUCUAUCCUUUUUUACUAAUAUUUUUAUAUCUAGUAAUUUUCAACUAAUAAUUUCAAAUAAUUAACUAAGUAGUAAUUUAUUCUCGAAUAAAGAUAAAUAUUUUCCUUCUCAUGCGUAAUAUCUGUACCUGCCAAUUCUUUCGCAACGUAAUAUCCGUAAAUUUCUUAAAUAUCUCAACAUAAUUAUAGGUGACUUUGAAAUAAAAUUUCCUUCAUUACAGAUAAUUUUUAAUAAUUUAGUAAAAGAUAUUAUUUUCUUUAAAAAUUUAAUUUUAUUUUUUCUAAAGUAGAAAAUCUAUAUUUGAGUUUGACACGGAGAUUUUCUAUAUAGUAAAAGAUAUUAUUUUCUUAAAAAAUCUAAUUUUAUUUUUCUAUGUAUAAAAUUUUUUCAAAUAUCUCAAUAUAAUUAUAGGUAACUUUGAAAUAAAAUCUCCUUCAUUCAUUAUAGGUGAUUUUUAAAAAAUCUAUAUUUGAACUUGACACGUGGCAAACAUAUAGAGCGCCACAGAUAUUAUUUUCUUAAAAAAUUUAAUUUUGUGUCAGCUUCUCACAUAGGGUUCAUUAAGGGUUCUACUUUUAAAUAUAGUAAUAGAUAUCUACUCAUCAUGUCGUGCGGAUUAUAAAACCAGUUAAACAAAGAAGAAAAUAGUUUUCUGUCAUCGUUUUAUUUCUCAGCGAAUCAGAAUGAAUUCAAGACAUAUAAUUUUUUUAUAUUUAAUUUUUAUUUAGUAUUUUAUUCGGAGCCGAUCAGAAC